CUAUACAUACGCAUAAUUUUUAAGGGGAUAAUUAGGCAUAUUUAAAAAAUGACUGCAUUUAAAGUUUUACUUUUAAUAUAUGUUCCCUUAUGCUAUCUAAGCAACAUUAAGUGUAAAAUUGGGUCAUAAAAUGUGUUUAAAUCAUCUAGAAGAUAUCUUUAGGUCACAUUUCCAAAAAGUAGUUUUAAAUGCAUCUUUUGGACGUCUUAAAGACGUCUGAUGACUUAAUUUUAAACUUUGUGUUGUUUAGCUAAGUGUGCGAGAUCGCGCUUUAUUUCCUGAAAUCCGUGGAGUUUAUCGCGUGUCUUCGCGCCGAGAUUAAGUCGAUAGCGGUUAAUGGGCGGCAUCUUUUUGCGUAAUCUUUCGCUGUAUACGCGCAGGCUUCUAGGAUAUACUCGUUGUUAUCAGGAUAAUAGCAAUAUUUAUCCUACAGAAUUUUCUAGAAGCUUCCACGCAAAAAUAAUAAAGGCUGCAACCCGAGCCGAUUUCGCGCACUUCUCUCGAAGCUCUCAACGCAUUCGGUGUGUCGCCGAUUUCGUUUAUCGAUUGUGUCAGAAGUGCAAUAAAUCAGUGCUUGUUAAUUCAAUUUUGCUCUGUAUUUUUCCACGCCUCACUUUCACUUCACGAUUGCAACACACGCACUUCUGCUGUCGUGUCGAUAGCAAUAAAUGUUUGCAAUUAUUUUUAUUAAUUCAAAUCCGGAUUUAAUCAACAAAUCUUUGUUAUAAUUUAUAAGCAGAAUUUUUGGAAUUGGAACAAUUAUUUAUAUCAUUUGUGCUGCUCUCUACGUUUAGUGAAAGAUCGAAUAACACAACAAAAUGGCGACUGUGUCCAACAUAUUUAAUUGUAUUUGGGAAAUUGGAGAAGUAACUAAAAUAACGAACGACAUCGAAAACGCUAUUCAAGGAAGAUCUUUAAACAAUAAAAAAACAGCGUUAAUUAAUUCUAUGAAAGUUUGUAAUGAUAUGCCUAUCAAAACAAAAACAAUAGAACUAUACAUCUAUUGUUUAUCAAAAACACUUGUUGAUAUUUCAACGCCUAUGGAUUAAUUUUCUCAAGAAUUAACUUUUUUUAACUUCAAAGAAUGAAAACUUAUACAAAUCACAGAAGUAUAUUAAACUGUGGAUAAUAUCAAAGUAUUAUUGUCGAAAUACCAUAGAGAAAAAUAUUUACAUGUAUCCUGGCGAUAUUAGUAUUAAAAAAAAAAUAUAUAUUUAAUUUUGUAACAGAAAAAUUCAAAACUUUUAACUUUAACUUUAACGGAGCUUAAAUUAAAAUAUAGUCAGAAAUUAUGGACAAUACACAAGAUUAUAUGUUAACGACCAAUAUCGAUAAAAAGAUAUUAUAGAGUAUACGUUAACUUCGUAAACAAUAAAAUAAUUGUGGUAAAUUAUUCAUCAAAGUUUUUGGAUUUGUCCCACUCAGAAAUAGUUCCUUGAAACGAUGUCGUUUCGAUAUAGAAAAUGCAAGUCAAAACUUUUCAAAAUUUUCAAUAAUUUUGAUGGAUUUUUGACACAAAUUUCGAGAAAUUUUCAACUUUCAUUCAACAUCAAAACGACAUCGUUUCGAAGGGCUAUUUUUGUUUUCCGAGAACAUACCGUCAAGCACAAAAAAAUAAUUUAUUUUUCUUUUUUUAAAUAAAUACUUCUGACUAGGUAAAAUGAUUUAAAAAUUGAGAUUGUUUUGAUAUUGGUUCGACAUAGGAUUAUUGUUGAAGGUAUUCAACGUUAAAAUAAACAUUUUUUUAAUGAAAAAAGGGCACUUUAACCCAUUAUUUUUAACGUUUUUUUAAAUGUUUUUAAAAACAUUUUUUAAAUAUUGUGUGCUGAUUGGGCAUCCAUCUUGUGAUCAGUGAAUCACUUAUAAUGUUUUACAAAAAAUUCUGUAAUAUAUAAAAGUAUAAUAGACACGAAGUACGCUGUAAAAUCACAGAAAUCUAAGCGCAUGCUAGGCGUUGCCUUCUUCUUCUUCUUCUUGUUUAUCUACUCCCUGGAUUGGAUAGGUGGGAAUGAUACGACCAAUAAGCAAAAUUAAUUCAUUAGAAAUCAAAGCACGAAGGACAACAACGGAUGUCUCGCCAGGCCGAUUGUGAUGCAAUCGACAGCUAAAAAGUAUCAGUAACGAGCGAACACAUCCGAAUACGUUGGCGGCUUAAACGGUCUAACCACCAUAACAGGCGUUGCCAAAAUGGCAAUGAAGUAUCCGCGGGAGACGAAUAGCACAGAACAAUCGAAUAGCGGAAAUGCGUACAUAUAUGCAGAGCGAACGUAUUAUAUAUUCUAAGGCAAAAAGAGACAACACAUAUAGGGUGCAACACUUAACGCUCGCAAUCCUUUUGGAAUCAUUUCAUCUUUGUUAUUUAUAAAAUAUUGAAGAAGAAUAAAUAAUCGUUAUAAAUGUUUAACAAAUAUUAAAUAAGGAUGAAUGAUUUUUGUGAGAGUUACAAUUUUUGAAAUUGCGUUAUACAUUAAAUUUAGGCUUUAGAAUUUUUUCGUAUCCUGAAACAUAUGUUUCAGUAUUUUGCCCCCGUUCUCGGGCGAGAGAAAAACACGCGACAAUCUAUAAAGGUUACUGUCAACUCGAUAGCAAUGUGGCAUCGUAUCUGUUCUACACAAAAUAUGACCACAAUUUUUUUCGGCAGUAAUACUUUUUCAUAAAAGUACUAUGCCUGUUUUAGUUAAAUUAUUACAUACAUGAUGUGACAAUUAAUUUUUAAGACCAAUAAAACACGAUAGAAACAAAAUACAUAAAAUCUCAUAUUGUUUUAUUCAAAAUAAUUUCCUUUUGCUUUAAUACACUUGUUACAGCGAUUCAAAAGGGAUUCUUCAAACGCAUGAUUUAGCUCAUUUUAUGGUAUUGUAUGCUUCUAGUUCCCUGUUGAAGCUGUUUGGAUGAUCGGAAUGUCUUUGAAAACAUCCUUUUAACUUCAAUUUCAAUUUUGGAAAUAAAAAAAGUCGGGACCAAAUUAGGUGAAUGUGUGGCGGAUGAUUGCCAUGAGCACACAGACCUCAUUUUUGGCCAAAAAUUCACGAACAAUGAGUGACUUGUGAGAUGGUACGUUUAUCGUGCAACAGCGUCCAACUUUCUCGAUCUUGAUAAUCGAGACAAAUACGAUAGAUUCUGGUCAUCAAACGCUUCAAAACUUUAAGAUAAUAGUCGCUAGUAACUUUUUACUAAGUCUUGCGUUUAAAUUUAAUAACCGCUCUUUGUUCCAUGAUACAAUUUCAACAUUGAUUAGAGAUUUGAUCAGGAAGAACUGUUAUAACUUUGUUAUUUACUAUUCGAUUGACAUGAACUUAGGCGCGUUAAACAGAUAAAUGAUUAACCUCUCUAAGGAUGCUACCGCUCAACAGAUGUCGCCACUACUUGCUGAGAUAUGGUGCCAGUCUUAAAAAUUAAUUGCCGCAUAUAUGGAGGGAUUUAUGGUUUUGGAAUUUGCGCGAUAAUACCACAGUAUAACCAGUAUAUUCGCUCCCCAAAAAUGCACGUAAUCGCGCAAAUCCUAUUGGGAAGCUUUUGUUUUCAGUUGGCUCUAAAGAUGCAAGAGGACGCAGGAACGUCGUACACUGAUAACUUGGGUAUUUUUAUAAGCAUCUGUGAAAAAUGGUAAAAAUAAAGCAGAAAUGUAAAGUGCAAUAUAAAUCAAUGCAAUAUAUAUAAAAUCAUAAAUUCAAAGUUCAAUUUUUUUAAUUAACUAGAAAAAAAAAUGCACUUAUUCCUUGUAUUGUGUCAGCACCUUUAUAGAACACUUUUUCUCUCGGGCCUGAAUUUUAUAGUCACGUGAUCUCAACGCAAGGACAUAUGCCGACUGAGCGAAUAUGGUGGCUAUACUGUGAUAAAACUGCGCAUUGCAUACUCACACAUGUAAAGUGUUAUUAGACGGGCCCGUUUUUUUGCGCAUGCACGACUACAGUCAGCGCUGUAAACGGUGUACCGAGAAAUGGGCGCGUGGCGGGCUCGUCAUAUGAUUAGUAUAGGUUAAAGGAAGUAUACAUUGGUUUGUUCACGUUGCUUGCCCUCAAUAUCUUUUAUGUCGCACUCAAUAUUUUUGCUGUUUCCUUCUCUUAUAUAUCUUUCCUAUAUAUCUCUAUUAUUUGCUUGAAUAUAUAUUCAUUUUAUUUUAAGUGCAAGAAUUUUUAAAGAUUUCAAGCAACGCGAACAAACCUAUUUAUUUUAAUAUAGAUUUACAAAAUUCUAAAACAAAAGAAGCAAUUGAAAAACGUCAGAUUAGAGAAUUCCAAAAUUUGUAUGGGCUAUCAAAGAUCUCCUCCUCCACUAAGAUAUACUUUACUGAAGCCUUAUUUGACUCGCAUGCGCAAAAAACCGGUCCUUAACAACACUGCUAGACACGCCUUUGCUUAUAUAAGAUAAGUUUGCCUGCUCACGAUAGAAGGUGUUGAACCACUUGAGUGAAUUCAUCGAUGAAUAAGAUGUAAUUUAAGAAACGCAUUAACAACUCUAAGAAAAAAACAACAAUAUCAAUGAUAAGGAGAAAUGGUAUAAUUCAUCAAUCAUCAAACACUAGGACUAUUUUUUUCCAAACGUGGAUCGAGGGCUUCAUAGCAGCUAUAUAUCGAAAUUUUGUUUUGAAAAAAUUCAUAAAUACUGUCAAAAUAUAAAUAAAUACAUCUAUAGAAAGUUUUUUGUAAUAAUAUAAUAAGAUUUUUGAUAGGUAUAUUAAUGAAAUAUUUAGUAAUUCCAAAAGUAAAGAAGUUUAUGAUAAGUUUAUAAAGAUAUUAGAAGAUAUAGUCAAAUAAAUGCCUAAUAGAUCUCUUUCAUAUUUUUUAAAAUCAUUUGUAGUAUUAAGUAACAAAAUAUAUGUAAGAAAUUACUGAAAAGAUAUAUCAAGAAAAUAACGAAUCAAAUAUGUGCAAUUAAAAAUUUGAAACUUAUAACAUUUUUAAUAGUUGAUGCAUUUUCAGCACUUGAUUGAGAUUUUUCUAACUGAAAUUUAAUUAAUAUAUAUAAAUGGAGUUACCAAAUGUAACAACAAUUACUACGAAGUUAGAUAGUUUUCCAAACACCAAAGCUUAUUUAGAUAAUCUAACUAGAGACUCUAGUGUUGUAACUAAUAAGGUCCAUAAGGAAUAUGAGUAUAGUACACAUAUAGUUAAAAAUAAUUUAUAUACAACUUAUGGAUCUUUUGUAGAUUAUUUUAUAAGAAAACAUAUAUCUUAUUAUAAGAAGAUUGAUAUAAUAGAUCAUAGAGCAGAAUGGGUUAUAAACGAAAGCGAUAAGAAACCCAAAAAUAUAGAGAAAUGUUAUAAUGUUUUUAAGAAUUAUAAUCUAAGUGCUAUGGAUCAUAUAAAAGAUAUACAGACAGUUUCUUAUUGUAAUGCCAUAUAUUUUGAGCAACGUUUUCCAAAAUAUAAUUUUGGUGUGAAUAAAGAGAAUAUGUUAGAUAUAGUAAGCUAUAUUAAUAGUUUAUCUUAUGUACAUUAUGAAUUGAAUCCUACAGUUGACAGUGAUUAUUUUAAUGGUGAUGCUGAUCUAAUACUUGACAAUGAUGUAAUUUUGGAUAUUAAAGUUUCAAAGCAUAAGUCACUUCACAAUCGACGCAAAAAUAUCUCUAAGAAAUCAUUCUACCAGUUGAUUUUAUAUAGUUUUGGAAAUUAUAAGAAAUCAAAUACUAAAGUUAAAAUUAAUAAGUUUCUAAUCUAUAAUCCGUUACUUGGAUACGAAUACAGUCUAUCAGUAAAUGAGAUAAACUAUGAAGAAUUUGAAUGUGCUUUGAAACUCGAUAUUCAAGACAAGGUUCUAAAAAUAAGUUCUUUAUCUAUAUAAUAAUCAUUAAGAUGUUGAACUUGUAAAUAUAUGGUAGUACUCGUAUAUUUCAUUUUUCUUUAAUUUUGGAAUAAAGGAUUUAGAAUUUGUUUAUGUGAUCCCUAAGAACAAAAAUAAUGAAGUAGUCAAAUCUGUUGUGCUCUAAGUCAAGAAUAUAUAACUUCUCUUAAAAUAUUAAUAUUACCAGCGUUAGAACUCAGAGUAGCUUUAUUUAAUCAUAGUUUAUCUCCGUCAUCAAGCGAGUUCUAAAAAUUGAAAUCGAAUGUAUUCAUUUAUGGAGUAACUCGACAAUAGCGUUAUGUUGAAUCAAGACAUCAUUCGACUGAAAUCUUCAAACUUUUGUGGCAAACAAAACAGCUGAGAUACAAGAAUUGACAAACACAUCAUGUUGGCGACACGUACCCUCAAAAGAGGAUCUUGCAGACGCUCUAGCUAAAGGAAUUUUAUUGGAGAGACUCUUGCCAGAGGACAUCUGAUAGAAUGGCCCUGCAUGGCUCGUUUCGUGAAACAGUUGACUAAAUUAGAAAAUGUCAAUUACAUCAGCGAUUCCAGAGCAACAAAUUUUAAUUACGACAGAAGCAUUCAAACAAUCUAAAGUCAAAGAUUCGAACUUUCAACAGAUUAAUUUUACAAGAAGAUUCUCAUCGAUUUUGAAGUUACAAAAGGUCAUUGCCUACUGUUUGCGUUUUGGAGACAACAAAAAAACUGGGAAAACCGGACCUAUCAGUAGAAGCACUCGACAGUCUUAAAUAAAAUUAUUAAAUAACACAAGAAGAAGCCUUUACGAAAAAGAUUUCAAAUUUACGUGCAAGAAAAAUGAUUGAGACAAUUGGAAUAUUUUAAUUAGUCCCAAACCCUUCGUAUGAGAUAACUUUAGUCUCAUGAGAGUUGGUGGGCAAUUAACCAAUGCAAAAAAUUUCUGAGGAAUAAGAGCACGCUAUCAUUUUUCCGGCAAAGCAUCAUAUAACGAUGACACUACUCUGAGAAGAACCUCCGAUUAUCAUAUUGCGUAGCAACUUCUAAUUUCCAUUCGCAAUAAGUAUUGGCCUCUUUCCGGAACAAGAGAAGCUCAUCGUGAAGUAAUUCGUAAUUGUGUGCCGUGCUUUCGGUACAGGCCAAGAGUACGAGAACAUUUAACGGCAGACUUGUCAGAAUCGAGAAUCAAUAUUUUUUAGGCUCUUUGAGACUAGAGGAAUUGAUUAUGCUGAAAGUUUAAAGCCUGUUUAAAAAAAAUUACUUUGCGAUUUCACAAAGACAAUUACUUAUCGAAAUGGCAACAUAUUCUAAAGCUGAAAUAGCAUUUUUGACAGAGAUGGCUGAAAGAGUACCUUCAUCAUUUUUAGAGUCAAAUCAAAUGGAUUGCGGAGGCAGAAAACAUAAAGAUUGGUUCAAUAGUAUAUUGUUCGCAGAUAAGAACCAAAUUUUUCCAGAGGUGGACGGCAUUGUUUGAGUCGCAGACGUCAAAACAUCGCAAGGACAAUUUCGAAGAAGUGUUAAAAGACUUUGUGCCUUACCUUGAGAAUAUUAAGUACUGAGUAUUUUUUCAUUUUUGUUUUAUUUAUAGUAUGUUAUAUUUACGAAAAUUUAAUUUUUAAGAAGCGAAUUAGGGCACGUAUCAUGAAAUUCUUUGGAAUGAAUUCCGAUCGGAAUUAUUCCGUUUUCCCUAGAAAUUUAGAGAAAAACGGAAUAAUUCCGAUCGGAAUCGAUUUCGAACAAAUGCAUAAUAUGUGCCCAGAUCAAUGACUUGCUGAUUAUAAUUUUUAUGCAAGAUUUCGUCAUACAACAUUGUUAAAAACAUAGAUUUGUUCGAAAAUUAAUUAGCUUAAGAGCUCAUACAUUUUUGUGCUAGACAGCCGAUUUCCCUGAGCAACGCAAUAGUUUAGAAAAGAAAAUUUAUUUGUACUACAACAUAUUAAAGGCUGUUCAAAAUCAGA